GACAGAGUUGGCAUUACAAUUGUGCUGGGCCACUGGGUAUAAAUUUACGAAAACAUUUCAUCGCCGCAGAACAAAAAUUUCUGACUCAAAAUAAAAUCACUCUCUCUCACUCUCACUCUCUCUCUCGAUCUCACUCCGAGAAACAACGAAAUCAACAAGACAGGAAGAGGAAGAAGAAGAAGGAGAAGGAGAAGAUAGACGGACCUAGAUCGAAUCGAAUCGGAUCCGACCCACAUACGCACAUCCUCCUGGACAUAUAUGCCAACUUUGAGCACCUAAUUUUGUUUCAUAUGCGAGCAAUGCCGAUUGCCUUGAUCUAGCUGCCCAAUGGCAUGACCAGCUAGUUUCAAGCAUCUACAGAAACAGUAAGUUAUUGCCUUUAUCAACAAGAGAGGAAGAGGAAGAGGAAGAGGAAGAAGAAGAAGAAGAACCGGACGACUGCUGAGUAUAAGAGGUCUAGGUUAUCGAGGAACUGGACGACUGCUAACCGGGCUUAUGGUGGAGUUCUUUCUGGUGGUGCUGUAAGGAAAAGGAUUGUUCGAGCCUUUUUGGUGGAAGAGUUCGAGCCUUUUUGGUGGAAGAGUUCUACGAUUCUGUGAAGAGAAAACACAUAGAACUUGGGCUUUUGCAAAGAACGAAGACUCUAUUGACAAUCCUUGAAGCUCAAGUAAGGAGUAACUUGUGAUAGUGAAUAGAGAUGGAUAAGAGUUGGAUGCAAGAACCUACUCGAUGUUCCGAUCGAUAUCUAAAAGGUGUUGAAGAAUUCCUUAGAAUGGCGCGCCAAUGUGUGGAUGUAAAUGGUAUUAUGAGGUGUCCAUGUCGUGAUUGUGCAAAUCGAUAUUUUCGUCAUAUUGAGUUGGUGGAGAGUCACUUGUAUGAACAUGGAAUUGAUCGCACAUACACUCUAUGGAUAUUUCAUGGCGAAGAAGAUCCGUGUGGUAUAAACAUGACUGCCAACUUACACACUGAUACAAA